GAUGAACGCUGGCGGCGUGCCUAAUACAUGCAAGUCGAGCGAACAGACGAGGAGCUUGCUCCUCUGACGUUAGCGGCGGACGGGUGAGUAACACGUGGAUAACCUACCUAUAAGACUGGGAUAACUUCGGGAAACCGGAGCUAAUACCGGAUAAUAUAUUGAACCGCAUGGUUCAAUAGUGAAAGACGGUUUUGCUGUCACUUAUAGAUGGAUCCGCGCCGCAUUAGCUAGUUGGUAAGGUAACGGCUUACCAAGGCGACGAUGCGUAGCCGACCUGAGAGGGUGAUCGGCCACACUGGAACUGAGACACGGUCCAGACUCCUACGGGAGGCAGCAGUGGGGAAUCUUCCGCAAUGGGCGAAAGCCUGACGGAGCAACGCCGCGUGAGUGAUGAAGGUCUUCGGAUCGUAAAACUCUGUUAUUAGGGAAGAACAAAUGUGUAAGUAACUAUGCACGACUUGACGGUACCUAAGCAGAAAGCCACGGCUAACUACGU
rnacentral:rRNA from 1 species